rnacentral:rRNA from 1 species
CAGCAGCCGCGGUAAUACGAAGGGUGCAAGCGUUAAUCGGAAUUACUGGGCGUAAAGCGUGCGUAGGCGGUUUGUUAAGUCUGCUGUGAAAUCCCCGGGCUCAACCUGGGAAUGGCAGUGGAUACUGGCAAGCUAGAGUGUGUCAGAGGAUGGUGGAAUUCCCGGUGUAGCGGUGAAAUGCGUAGAGAUCGGGAGGAACAUCAGUGGCGAAGGCGGCCAUCUGGGACAACACUGACGCUGAGGCACGAAAGUGUGGGGAGCAAACAGGAUUAGAUACCCGUGUAGUCCCUGUCUCUUAUAA